rnacentral:rRNA from 1 species
UGUUUUAAAAUUGUAAGGAAAUUUUCGAAUAUUUUAAGGUAGAAUUUUAAUUUUUGGAAAAAACAUUAAAUUAAAACAUAAAAUUUAUAUAAUGGACCAGGAUUAGAUACCCUGUUACUUAUAAUUAAAAAAUUUUGGAAUAGUAAUAAUAAUGAAAUUUAACGGAUUUGGCGGCAAGAUAGCCAUUUAGAGGAACCUGCCCUGUAAACGAUGAACCACGAAAUACUUUACUUUUAUUUGUUAUCAGUUUGUAUACCGCUGUUGUCAGUCAGUUUUUCUAGAAAUCUUUCUACUAUGAUAAAAUCAAAUACUUCAAGUAAAGGUGCAGCUUAUGUAAAAGAUAGAGGUGGGUUACAUUUAUGAAGAUUAAAACGAAUAAAGAUUUUUUGAAAAAUACUUUUGAAGGUGGAUUUAAAUGUAAAGUUUAAAAAAACUUGAUGUGAGCUCUAUCUUGUGUACACACCGCCCGUCGCUCUCUUUUUUAAAA